rnacentral:rRNA from 1 species
UACGGGGGGAGCAAGCGUUGUCCGGAAUUAUUGGGCGUAAAGGGCGUGUAGGCGGCUUGGUCAGUCGAAUGUGAAAUCCCACGGCUCAACCGUGGAAUUGCGUUCGAUACUGCCUGGCUUGAGUAUGUGAUAGGUGUGCGGAAUUCCUGGUGUAGCGGUGGAAUGCGUAGAUAUCAGGAAGAACACCGAUGGCGAAGGCAGCACACUGGCGCAAUACUGACGCUGAGGCGCGAAAGCGUGGGGAGCAAACAGGAUUAGAUGCCCUGGUAGUCCACGCUGUAAACGAUGGGUACUGGGUUUCGGGGUCUCAACCCUCUCGGAGCCGUAGCUAACGCGUUAAGUACCCCGCCUGGGGAGUACGGUCGCAAGGCUGAA